rnacentral:rRNA from 1 species
CAGCAGGCGCGAAAACUUUACAAUGCGGGAAACCGUGAUAAGGGGACACCGAGUGCCAGCAUCAUAUGCUGGCUGUCCAGGUGUGCAAAAUACACCUGUUAGCAAGGGCCGGGCAAGACCGGUGCCAGCCGCCGCGGUAACACCGGCGGCCCGAGUGGUGAUCGUGAUUAUUGGGUCUAAAGGGUCCGUAGCCGGUUUGGUCAGUCCUCCGGGAAAUCUGACAGCUUAACUGUUAGGCUUUCGGAGGAUACUGCCAGACUUGGAACCGGGAGAGGUAAGAGGUACUACAGGGGUAGGAGUGAAAUCUUGUAAUCCCUGUGGGACCACCUGUGGCGAAGGCGUCUUACCAGAACGGGUUUGACGGUGAGGGACGAAAGCUGGGGGCACGAACCGGAUUAGAUACCCGGGUAGUCCCAGCCUAAACGAUGCUCGCUAGGUGUCAGGCAUGGCGCGACCGUGUCUGGUGCCGCAGGGAAGCCGUGAAGCGAGCCACCUGGGAAGUACGGCCGCAAGGCUGAAACUUAAAG